rnacentral:rRNA from 1 species
ACGAAAGUCUGACGGAGCAACGCCGCGUGAGUGAAGAAGGUUUUCGGAUCGUAAAGCUCUGUCUUCAGGGACGAAUGUGCUUAAUGUGAAUAAUGUUAAGUAAUGACGGUACCUGAGGAGGAAGCCACGGCUAACUACGUGCCAGCAGCCGCGGUAAUACGUAGGUGGCAAGCGUUGUCCGGAAUUAUUGGGCGUAAAGCGCGCGCAGGCGGGAAUGUAAGUCUGUCUUAAAAGUUCGGGGCUCAACCCCGUGAUGGGAUGGAAACUACAUUUCUUGAGUGCAGGAGAGGAAAGUGGAAUUCCUAGUGUAGCGGUGAAAUGCGUAGAUAUUAGGAGGAACACCAGUGGCGAAGGCGACUUUCUGGACUGUGUCUGACGCUGAGGCGCGAAAGCCAGGGGAGUGAACGGGAUUAGAUACCCCGGUAAUCCUGGCCGUAAACGAUGGGUACUAGGUGUAGGAGGUAUCGACCCCUUCUGUGCCGGAGUUAACGCAAUAAGUACCCCGCCUGGGGAGUACG